AGCAUAGCGUAGUGGUCAUAGCGUAUGAUUGGUGUUGUGAGGUCGUGGGUUCGAGUCCCGCGUGUGCCA
rnacentral:tRNA from 1 species